AGGUGUCUGAACAUUGGGGGAAUCACUUUAUGAGCAACCACAAGUCUACCUAUCAGUUCAUAGUGCACACACAUUCCAGAUACUACUUUGUAGAUGAUGGCCUUCAUUCAUGUUUCGUCGCGAGCACUAUGACGAAGGAGUCAUAAGAAAGCAAGGCAUGCAUGAUCUAGGACAUUCUUUUAAUGCUGAAUUUUCUUGGAAUUUGGAUGUAGUGCUGAUUUUGCUGAGAAUUUGAUGUAUAUUUGCAUGCAAAGAAAAUUCAAAUGCUGGGAGUUAUGUACAUAUUCUUAUAAUACUCUCCUAAUUGGAAAAUACGUUGGCAUUGAA